UUCCUACGGGAGGCAGCAGUGAGGAAUAUUGGUCAAUGGACGCAAGUCUGAACCAGCCAUGCCGCGUGCAGGAUGACGGCUCUAUUAGUUGUAAACUGCUUUUGUACGAGGGUAAACCCCGAUACGUGUAUCGGGUUGAAAGUAUCGUACGAAUAAGGAUCGGCUAACUCCGUGCCAGCAGCCGCGGUAAUACGGAGGAUCCGAGCGUUAUCCGGAUUUAUUGGGUUUAAAGGGUGCGUAGGCGGAUUUUUAAGUCAGCGGUAAAAUGUCCGGGCUCAACCCGGGCCGGCCGUUGAAACUGGGGG
rnacentral:rRNA from 1 species